GAAACGACUGCUAAGACUGGAUAGGAAGAUAAAAGGCAUCUUUUAUCUUUUAAAAGACCUAGUAAUAGGUAUGCUUUAGGAGGGGCUUGCGCCAUAUUAGUUAGUUGGUAGGGUAAUGGCCUACCAAGACGAUGAUGUGUAGCUGGACUGAGAGGUUGAACAGCCACAUUGGGACUGAGACACGGCCCAAACUCCUACGGGAGGCAGCAGUAGGGAAUUUUCGGCAAUGGAGGAAACUCUGACCGAGCAACGCCGCGUGAAUGACGAAGUACUUCGGUAUGUAAAGUUCUUUUAUCAAGGAAGAAAAGCAAAUGGCGAACCAUUUGUUUGCCGGUACUUGAUGAAUAAGCCCCGGCUAAUUAUGUGCCAGCAGCCGCGGUAAGACAUAAGGGGCAAGUGUUAUCCGGAAUUAUUGGGCGUAAAGGGUGCGUAGGCGGUCUAGUAAGUCAGUGGUGUAAUGGCAACGCUUAACGUUGUCCGGCUAUUGAAACUGCUAAACUUGAGUUAGAUAGAGGCGAGUGGAAUUCCAUGUGUAGCGGUAAAAUGCGUAAAUAUAUGGAGGAACACCAGAGGCGUAGGCGGCUCGCUGGGUCUUAACUGACGCUGAGGCACGAAAGCGUGGGGAGCAAACAGGAUUAGAUACCCUGGUAGUCCACGCCGUAAACGAUGAGUACUAAGUGUCGGGUUAAACCGGUACUGAAGUUAACACAUUAAGUACUCCGCCUGAGUAGUACGUACGCAAGUAUGAAACUUAAAGGAAUUGACGGGACUCCGCACAAGCGGUGGAUCAUGUUGUUUAAUUCGAAGAUACCCGAAAAACCUUACCAGGUCUUGACAUGUUUUUGCAAAAUGAUAGUAAUAUCGUGGAGGUUACCAGAAACACAGGUGGUGCAUGGUUGUCGUCAGCUCGUGUCGUGAGAUGUUAGGUUAAGUCCUAAAACGAGCGAAACCCUUAUCGUUAGUUGCCAGCACGUUAUGGUGGGGACUUUAACGAGACUGCCAAUGAUAAAUUGGAGGAAGGUGAGGAUCACGUCAAAUCAGCAUGCCCCUUAUGACCUGGGCUACAAACGUGAUACAAUGGCUGUUACAAAGGGUAGCUGAAACGCAAGUUCUUGGCCAAUCCCCAAAAACAGUCCCAGUCCGGAUUGAAGUCUGCAACUCGACUUCAUGAAGUUGGAAUCGCUAGUAAUCGCGAAUCAGCAUGUCGCGGUGAAUACGUUCUCGGGGUUUGUACACACCGCCCGUCA
rnacentral:rRNA from 2 species